rnacentral:lncRNA from 1 species
ACAUCAAUUAAAACGAGCUUAAAUUGACUGACACAAACCAAAAUCAGCUGCAGUAGACAAAGCUGAUUGAAACCGAAAAUUUCGGUCAGUUUCAGAUUGUCUUCAGCUGAAACUUUAAAACUUACACAAAAUAUAAUACUAUCUUCGACAAGAUACUAUGCUUCAAAUACUAACUCUAGACUAAUAUGGUAGUGUUAGCCUAAUAUACAUAAUGUUAUGAAAUGGACUGAAACAAACCAAAAUCAACUAAAAUAGACAAAACUGACUGAAACUGAAAAUUUCUGUCGGUUUGAAAUCGUUUGCAGCUACAACUUUAAAUCUUGCAUACAAUACUGUACUAUAUUUGACAAGAUACUAUGCAAGUUACUAUGUUUUGAAUACUAAAUUAAGUGUUCUAUGUUAAGAGUGUCAGCCUAAGGUGCACAAAGUUUAUGAUUCCCACUAUGAGUCACAGGUACUACAUUUAGAGUACAUGUUUAAAAUAAUAAUAUACAUAUGUAUCUAGCAUGCAGCAUAUUUUUCAUAAAUGUGAUGUAUUUUAUUGAUAGUAUUGGUACGUUCACCAAUACCCGUUGCCAUACACCAAGACAGCUAACCAUUGGCUAGACAAAACCAAAAGUAAAGACAAACAACCCGGUAACCCGCAACAAUGGAAUGAGUAGGCAGCCCCAAAAGAAACAUACAAGCACGUUAUAGAUGAGAACCAAUGCACGUUGGAUGGACCAUGCGAGAGCUGGGAGCACAUCACUUUCACCAUAGUGCAACAGCAUGCAUGUUGAACUACUAGGUUGGAGGGGGUAGGCGGAGUAGUCGGAUUGAAAAGGAAGACUCUUAGGUACACCCCAAGAUAUUGGGAAAUUCUAGCUGACAUGGUGGUGCUGCUCAUUCAUAUGCCAAGGUAUCUUAAAAAUCAAUCACCUAGCAGAAGGCACAAGGUGGAUGGAGGCGGCCUCCUCCCCUUGAAUGCCCGCGAUGGCUAUAUGAUGUUGAUCACCUCCUUGAUCAACUAGGUCAGCCAACCCCCUUGGUUUGAUGGCAAUGGACAGUGUCCGGAGGCCAUAGGAGACUGCUACUAAUUGGUUGGGGGAAUUGGUGGCUUGGUUUAGGAGGGUUGUAGCCCUGGCAAAAGACAUGGCUGGGCAUAGUUCCAUAGCCGUUGUAGCAUGAAAAUGGAAAACUAACUUGUCCUUAGCAGAUGCAGAGUGGUCAGAUUCCGGCCACCCCUCCACUGCCUUCCCCAUGUUGGAGAACAACAGCACUAGCAUUGAAUCAUUAGCAUUGCUAGGCAUCCUUUUGCUUUGCUUGCAGAUCUGGGGCUAUCCUUUGGCAACUACUUGAGCUUGGGGCUGUAAGCCCAUGAUGAAGGGGCCAACUUCCUCUAUGGACGCAGAUCCAAUUUGAUGUGUAUUAGGAGAGAUGGUGGGAAAAUGAAACCGAUCUAUAGAAAACUUCAGUUAUGGUUGUUGACAUAUACAAACUUGCUGUGUCCAAUGGUAUGGCAUCAAGUGACCUAGGCUUUGACCUGAGUUGCCUGCUGAAAGAGGCGAUGAAGUUGCGUAACCCAGUCAUGGUGAGUCAAAUUUGAGGAAGAUAGAGUUCCUCUACCUUGUUAGUGUCUUAGCACAUUGCCUCUGCACUAUUCUUGCCACUAGCCAUGGGUCAUAGGCCAGCACCAUUGAUUGUGUCCACACAAUUGAAACACCCAUUAAGGGUUCUUUUUGUUGACUUGCCUUUGCUUGCAAUUGGUCCUUUAGCAAGAUGUUCUCUAGGGGUAGUCCAGCUGGUCAUGGCCAAUUCAAUGACAAGCAAAACACUGGUCCCACGCUCUCGUAUACAAAUUGUUGCCAUAUUCUAUAUCCAGUGGCCUAACUGUUAUCCUGAGCAUGAACAAACUUGUGAGAUUCAACCACAGAGAUUUGGGCAUAGUUUGCAUUGGUAAGCUAUUCAAUCACUAUGAUUUUGGUGCAAAAGUACACCUAUGGGGGUGCUGGCUGUUGAUUGAUGUUUGUUGCCGCCAUCUCGUCCCAGUAUACACAAGGUAGCUGUGACAGCUUCAUUGAUGGCAACCUAGUGUCUGCAGUGGGGACAAGGUUCAGUCAUCAGGUCUUAAAUGCAAGAACCUGGCUGCUGACGAUCCAGGGUCCCAUGGUCAACACCUUGAGCAUAUCAUGUUCACUGCUAAUUCAGAAUCCUAGGAUGUCCUCUAGCACCUCCAAGAGCCGGGACUUGUUCCAGAUUCCACUUCAUCUUGACUUCAUGCACUGCACAUGCUGAUGAAGGCUGACAACCUAAAAAUUUUCUAAUUCUACCUUAUCUGGUCUAACUUGGUCGAGGAUCUGGUUCAUGUCGCUCCCUACUCGAUGGAAGGGACCAUUUUAUGAUGUGAUAUUUGGAGUUUUCAGGAUCCUAUUGUAUCACCAGGUUGAGGUGAUCACCACCUGAUCAUUGGCCAUUGAGAUGUCUCCUUGAUAGUUUGCAAGAGUAGUGACUGUGUGUUCCUCCUUAGGGCAAAGUAUACCCAGCUUUAGUCUUAGUGUUGAUGACUGCAAAAGGAAGAUUUGAAAAUAGGUAUAUAGGAGUAUAGUAUAAUGAUAAUUUAAAUGUCAAAGAUUAAGACUAUGAGAAACCAUAAGUAUCUGGAGGGAUGGCAAGGGAGGACAGAAGUAUGAAAGACCCACUCCUUCCACUGACAUAGAACCCCAAAAUGACAGACAAGUAUGGUUUACGAAUGGAGGCAUAGUUGGAGUGCAUGCAUGAGAGGACAGCUAUAGAUAAUAUAAAAUAAGGAAGAGAGUAAGGAGAGAGAAAUAAGCUUGGAUAGUGAGCUCUAGCCAAGGGAUGCUUGUGAUAAAGAACAGCUCCUGAGAUAUCCUUCCUUGCACAAUAGCAUGGGUCCAUCAUAACUUCUUGUCACUUGGAAUUCCGAAGUGAAUUGGUUUGCUAGGUGAGUGAUUGGUCCAUCCUAAAGGGGAGGGAGAGAGAUAUUUAUAGAGGGUGUCCUGAGUGGAGGAUAGGGCUAUCCAAUUGAUGCAAGCAAGCCUGCAUGUGCAAGUGUAUGGGAUUCAUGGAAACAAACCUAAAGAUAAGAUAACUGAUGGCUUCGAGUGAACUCCUUGAGGAUAUUUGGUCUCACAUCUUGAACCCCUCUGGGGAGUGCUUGAAGCUAUCGGUCUUGCACUGAUGACCUGUCAAGGGAUUGCAAUCUUGCACAAUGGCAAGUAGUGGAUCAUUCCAAGCAAGGAAUAAAAAAUUUCGAAAACAUUAAUGAUGAUUACUGGAUAUCAAAAGAGUACAACUAGGGCCUAUUUAUAGGUGGGAUCUUCUAAAGUUAAUGGACUUUCUUAAUUCUCA